AUUCUUUUUAUGCCUGAUUCUUGCUUGAAGCAAUUUCAGUCUGUAUAUAUUCCCUUAUGAUGUCUGUUGACUGGUUUGUCUGACUUCAGCCUAUCCUCUCAGAGAUGCAGCGUUUCCCAAGAGACCAUUUGGGUGAUCAGUAAAUCCCUUAGAUUCUAGAAAUAAAAGGCUCAACAAUCGGUUACAUGGUGAACUCAAAAAAAGAACUCAAUUUAGGACUCAAGGGAUACAUUCCUUUUCCUAAC